rnacentral:rRNA from 1 species
GACGAACGCUGGCGGCGUGCUUAACACAUGCAAGUCGAACGGAAAGGCCCUGCUUUUGUGGGGUGCUCGAGUGGCGAACGGGUGAGUAACACGUGAGUAACCUGCCCUUGACUUUGGGAUAACUUCAGGAAACUGGGGCUAAUACCGGAUAGGAGCUCCUGCUGCAUGGUGGGGGUUGGAAAGUUUCGGCGGGUGGGGAUGGACUCGCGGCUUAUCAGCUUGUUGGUGGGGUAGUGGCUUGCCAAGGCUUUGACGGGUAGCCGGCCUGAGAGGGUGACCGGCGACAAUGGGACUGAGAUACGGAGCAGACUCCUACGGGAGGCAGCAGGGGGGAGUAUGACACAAUGGGCGGGAGCCUGAUGCAGCAACGCUGCGUGCGGGAUGACGGCCUUCGGGUUGUGAACCGCUUUCGCCUGUGACGAAGCGUGAGUGACGGUAAUGGGUAAAGAAGCACCGGCUAACUACGUG